rnacentral:lncRNA from 1 species
AUCUGUAUAAAUGAAGGUAUAAUCAAGUCUUAGGAUUUAUGACAGAAUAAAAUGAAGAAAUUUUUUAGAGAUGCACAUAAUGAAGACAGUUUUAGGGCCUGAGAUCUUCAAAGAAGGACAGCAUGGAAAUCGAAGAACAUCUUGGGAAUGUGACUAUUUCCAAUCACACAGUCUGUCAUCCUGGACAUUCAACCAGCUCAGAACAUGUAGCCCUCUUGCAGGGCGGGAUCACUGAUGGACAAUUGGAGAGAAAGAAAAGCAGAGGUGAGAGACUGAUGUAUUAAACUGGCUCAGGAAAAACAUCUACAUACUCUCAAUUAGCUAUUUAUUAUUCCUACAAGACUUCCAAAGGAAAAAAAAUAGAAUAUAAGACCAGGGGAAAGAAGC